CCAGACUCCUACGGGAGGCAGCAGUGGGGAAUAUUGCACAAUGGGGGAAACCCUGAUGCAGCGACGCCGCGUGAGUGAAGAAGUAUUUCGGUAUGUAAAGCUCUAUCAGCAGGGAAGAUAAUGACGGUACCUGACUAAGAAGCCCCGGCUAACUACGUGCCAGCAGCCGCGGUAAUACGUAGGGGGCAAGCGUUAUCCGGAUUUACUGGGUGUAAAGGGAGCGUAGGUGGCAGGGCAAGUCAGAUGUGAAAACCCGGGGCUCAACCCCGGGAGUGCAUUUGAAACUGUCCAGCUGGAGUGCAGGAGAGGUAAGCGGAAUUCCGAGUGUAGCGGUGAAAUGCGUAGAUAUUCGGAGGAACACCGGUGGCGAAGGCGGCCAACUGGGCUUUAACUGACGCUGAGGCUCGAAAGUGUGGGGAGCAAACAGGAUUAGAUACCCUCGUAAUG
rnacentral:rRNA from 1 species